rnacentral:piRNA from 1 species
UCCCAGCUACCUAGGAGGCUGAGGCAGGAG